rnacentral:tRNA from 1 species
GGGUAUAUAGCUUAGUGGUUGAGUGCUUGCCUAACAUGCAUGAAGCUCUGGCUUCAGUCCCCAGUACUACCA